CAUGCAAGUCGAACGAGAAUCUACUGAAAGAGUUUUCGGACAAUGGAUGUAGAGGAAAGUGGCGGACGGGUGAGUAACGCGUGAGGAACCUGCCUUGAAGAGGGGGACAACAGUUGGAAACGACUGCUAAUACCGCAUGACGCAUAGAGGUCGCAUGAUCUUUAUGCCAAAGAUUUAUCGCUUCAAGAUGGCCUCGCGUCUGAUUAGCUGGUUGGCGGGGUAACGGCCCACCAAGGCGACGAUCAGUAGCCGGACUGAGAGGUUGAACGGCCACAUUGGGACUGAGAUACGGCCCAGACUCCUACGGGAGGCAGCAGUGGGGAAUAUUGGGCAAUGGGCGCAAGCCUGACCCAGCAACGCCGCGUGAAGGAAGAAGGCUUUCGGGUUGUAAACUUCUUUUAAGAGGGAAGAGCAGAAGACGGUACCUCUAGAAUAAGCCACGGCUAACUACGUGCCAGCAGCCGCGGUAAUACGUAGGUGGCAAGCGUUGUCCGGAUUUACUGGGUGUAAAGGGCGUGCAGCCGGGUCUGCAAGUCAGAUGUGAAAUCCAUGGGCUCAACCCAUGAACUGCAUUUGAAACUGUAGAUCUUGAGUGUCGGAGGGGCAAUCGGAAUUCCUAGUGUGGCGGUGAAAUGCGUAGAUAUUAGGAGGAACACCAGUGGCGAAGGCGGAUUGCUGGACGAUAACUGACGGUGAGGCGCGAAAGUGUGGGGAGCAAACAGGAUUAGAUACCCUGGUAGUCCACACUGUAAACGAUGAAUACUAGGUGUGCGGGGACUGACCCCUUGCGUGCCGCAGUAAACACAAUAAGUAUUCCACCUGGGGAGUACGAUCGCAAGG
rnacentral:rRNA from 1 species